GUGAUGACCUCUUCAACCGAGGAUUCCACUAAUCAGGGAAUAGCAGGUAACUAGCAUUAAUUGACACACGUAUAAUGCCAACACAAACAUAAGGGGUGCAGCAGCCAAGUCCAUCUGGGUGCCAUUUUAAUGCACUCCACGGGUGUCAAAAUCUUGCUUAUCCAAGAUUAAUUAGAUGAUGGAGAACCGAUUAAUUAGAUGAUUGAGGAUACCAUCAAAUCAGUCAAUAAAUCCCGAACAAUCAUAUUUUCUGUUUCCCUUUCCCCCAAAAACGUGUGAAUUGCUAUUUAAAACGGCUAAAAAAAGUCAGUUGUCAGGGUAAGCAUACCCAUCCCCAAUUAAAAAGAAAAAGUAUUUUACUUAAUAUCCUCUAG